rnacentral:rRNA from 1 species
AAGCCCUUAUACGGCGAGUGAGCGGCAAAGCUCAAUUUGAAAUCUGGUACCUUUGGUGCCCGAGUUGUAAUUUGGAGAGUACCACUUUGGGACUGUACUUUGCCUAUGUUCCUUGGAACAGGACGUCAUGGAGGGUGAGAAUCCCGUGUGGCGAGGGUGUCAGUUCUUUGUAAAGGGUGCUCGAAGAGUCGAGUUGUUUGGGAAUGCAGCUCUAAGUGGGUGGUAAAUUCCAUCUAAAGCUAAAUACAGGCGAGAGACCGAUAGCGAACAAGUACAGUGAUGGAAAGAUGAAAAGAACUUUGAAAAGAGAGUGAAAAAGUACGUGAAAUUGUUGAAAGGGAAGGGCAUUUGAUCAGACAUGGUGUUUUGCGCCCCUUGCCUCUCGUGGGCUUUGGGACUCUCG